ensembl:misc_RNA Y_RNA Y RNA
GGCUUGUCCUAGUGCAGUAGUGUUUACAACUCAUUGAUCACAACCAGUUACAGAUUUCUUUGUUCCUUCUCCACUCCCACUGCUUAACUUGGGUAGCCUUUA